rnacentral:misc_RNA from 1 species
GUAACUAUUAAGUUUUUCUGACGCUGACUGCAAUUACAAUGGGUUUUAAAGGUCCUACUGGCAGGCAAGCCCGCCGAGGAAACAAUGGGUGCGCAAAAACAUGGGUAUAUAUUCAGGCAGGGCGGGGAGGAAAAAGCGUUAAGGCCGCUAAGCCAACACCACAAGGGUGCACUUUCCCAAGGCCGGCCCCCCGAGGAUAUAGUUUAAUGAUCCUUCCGCAGGUUCACCUACGGAAA